rnacentral:rRNA from 1 species
GUUUGGCACCUCGAUGUCGGCUCGUCGCAUCCUGGGGCUGGAGUCGGUCCCAAGGGUUGGGCUGUUCGCCCAUUAAAGCGGUACGCGAGCUGGGUUUAGAACGUCGUGAGACAGUUCGGUCCCUAUCCGCUGUGCGCGUAGGAGUCUUGAGAAGGGCUGUCCCUAGUACGAGAGGACCGGGACGGACGAACCUCUGGUGUGCCAGUUGUUCUGCCAAGGGCAUGGCUGGUUGGCUACGUUCGGGAGGGAUAACCGCUGAAAGCAUCUAAGCGGGAAGCCUGCUUCGAGAUGAGGACUCCCACCUCCUAGAGAGGGUAAGGCUCCCAGUAGACGACUGGGUUGAUAGGCCGGAUAUGGAAGCACGGUAACGUGUGGAGUUGACCGGUACUAAUAGGCCGAGGGCUUGUCCUCAGUUG